AUUUUUGCACCUCACAUGACGUUCAUGGAUCAACAAAACGCUUACUACAACUAUUCUUUAUCAUUUCAUUGAUAAAUUUUAUUCAAAUAAUACAUGUGCCAGAAACAUCAUACCUAGCAACAAAAUCACAUAUACUUGUAUACAUUUGCUCACAGCAGGCGACUCUACGCCAUCACGAAGAUGUAAGUUAGCCCGUUCUAAAAGAUAGACAUUCAAUUUUCAUACGACUGGUCGAUGAUGUAAUUAUCUUAAGGGGUUAUCGAGAAAAUCAAUAAACUGAAAAAAAACGUCGUUUCUCUGCUUAUAUCAGGCGACUCGACCACAGCCCGAAGAUGUCGAGAAAUUAACGAAAAACUG